UUUUGUUUUUUUCUGGGUGCCACCGUAAGGAUUGUGUUUUGGGCUGAAGUAUUUGGGAAGAACUCAUUUGCCUUGUAAGGCUUUAUGCUGCACCAUCACAUCGAAGACAAGUGCACGAAGAGGAAAGCUUUGGACAAAGUAGAAAUGUGCACAUUUUGGUGAAUCCUAUCCAUCAGUGACACUAAGCCAGCACCCACAGACCCCCAGUCAUGCCCUGUCAGCUUUUUUUUUUUUUUUUCCUAGAAAAUUUAAACCAGUUUGUAUCAAGUGCCUUAACAAGCUGUUCAACUUCUUCAAAAGUAAUAAUCCUUGUGACGUCCUGUCUCACCACACACUGUUCACCUAAUGAAAGAAAUGGUCAGGCUCCUGUUGUCUGAUCACACAGGUGAAUUCAUAAAGUUUUAUGUCGCCACAUUUUCCAGAAAAGGGAGGUCUGCUGGAGGUUUUUUUUUUUUUUUGCUGGCUUUGAUGCACAGGUCUGGCUUAUUAUUAAGGAUGAACUUGGAUUCAUUUGGACAAACACUGGGUUUUUCAGAGAGACUGUCCAAAUGCUUUCAGAGGCCCUGGUCCUUUCCUCUUGUCUUUACAAUGGAACUCUAAAGAUGGACUCGCUGCAGCACCUCAACAUCACCGCAUGAGGAUUCCUGAUGGAGACAAUUGGAGCUUUUAAGCCCACGUUCACUUUCCCAGUGGAUGGCCACACUGUUUAGAAACGUGCAGCCCGUGUGGGGUGCAUGUUUCAUCUUGUGUAUAUACUUUCAUUUUAGAUUGUUUUAAACAAGUUUAUAAGGCUGGCUGAUAAACUGAAAAACGACUUACUCUUUUGUUAUCACUGGAGAUGUUAUACCGGUUUUCCUUUUGAAAUUGUGACCUAAAUUUCUAAGUUAUGAAAAAUUCUAAGUGAUCAUAAUCUUGAGACUGCAUGAAAUGUUUUGGACAAUUUUGAAACCCCUUCAGAUUUGAAGGUAGAUGUGAUUAUUUUAGCUGCACUUAAAUGAUUGACUAUUUGACUUGAGAUACCAGUGUUAACAAGUAUUGUUUAGACAGAUGGCUUUUUAAAGCUUGUGCGUGUGAGUGUUGAAUUCUCUAUUGUCACCAGCCUUAACUUGUAAAACCUGAGACCACCUCUACCAUCUAGGUCUCUGUGAAUCGCGAAUGGCCAAUGAUUUUUGUCUUGGUAGUAGUACAAGUGCUGCAGUGCAGCUAAAUUGUUAGAUAAUCUGUAUUUUGGGGAAGGUACUUUACUGUUACGUUCAUCUUGGCUUUAGGCACAGCUCCUGAUUAAGGAUUAGGAAGGAGCUGUGAUGUUAAAAAAAAAAAAGUCAACCGAGAGCAUCCAAAAUUAACAUCACACUUAAAUGUAGCAGCAACUCGUGGUCUGCAUCUGUGCAGCUCCACAACAUGCUCAGUCUGAUUGGCUGCUGUUAACAGAAAUAAUGGGUUUAGGCAAUAAUGGACUGCACUGCUUUUUGUACACUUCUGACCCAGAUAAGAUUUUUAUUUUAAAAUUAACGAAAAGGGGAAUGUUGAAGGAAUGAAACUAUUUGGUCAGGCUGCUUAUUUUACACAGUGGGUAACUAAAUCCACUCAUUAUCUUCCCCCUCCCCUCAAUUUAAGUUUUUGAAAUUUGAGGUAUUUUCUUUUGAUAAAGUGCAAUUUCCUUGUUGUGGUGAGAUGCUUUAGGUUCUAAUCAGUGAGAUUUAAAAAUGUCUGUCUAUUUAAAUUAAGAUUGUCUAUAAUCCUUAAUUCUCGUUGGUUAGAGUGGAUCCCUGUUCUUACGGCUUUAGUCCAUUACAUAUUUUUGCACAUGGGAAUAUUGGGGGGUGGGAGGAUGUCCAAAUUUGUGCAGAGUUUGUGAGAACAGGGAUUCUACCUUCAGACACAUGGCAGCUGUCUGUUUGCUGACAGCCUCUGACCGUACAAGCCACAGACACUUAACACCAAAAGGCACAACAUUGUACUGUGCUGAUAGUGGCUCUACUGUCACAGGCUGCAGUCAAAUCCUUAAAGACUGAGACAAGAGCAUCUUGCCUUGAAUUGGUAAAUAAUUACAAAAUGUAUAUUGAAUUGUCUCAUUCAUUAAGGACUUUUAAAAACAUUUGGGUGGUUAAUUUGGUCCUUUUGCUGCCCUGAUGCAGUCACUAAUUUGGUCUAAACUCAAACACAUUUGUGUAAAUUCUGGCUCACAUUGUUUCCUCCUGAAGUGCAGGCUCCUUGUGAGGUCUGUUUCCAACGGCUGCAUCAGUUCAUUAAUGUGGGUGGGAGCCUUAAGUGGCAUUAAGUAAGAUCCAGUGUUUUGGGAUGGGAUUGAAAUUGUCACUAAGAUGCCCUCAGACAUGGAUUUUAUUUUUGUUUCAAAUUAAAUGUUCAAAUGGAUUUCAUCUUGUUUAAAUUAUCUUCAAAUUUAACAAGUUAAAAUUGAGUUUUAUUUCAUUACAAUUUGGUCUAAUUGGCAAUGUUUCAGUGGAGCUGAAUUUUACUGGGAUUUGAGUUAAAACAGUGGAAAAUUAUCUGAAAAGUUUUGUUGAAAAUAAAGCUCACUGAAGUUUA
ensembl:lncRNA